ACGAACGCUGGCGGCGUGCUUAACCCAUGCAAGUCGAACGGAAAGGCCCUGCUUUUGUGGGGUGCUCGAGUGGCGAACGGGUGAGUAACACGUGAGUAACCUGCCCUUGACUUUGGGAUAACUUCAGGAAACUGGGGCUAAUACCGGAUAGGAGCUCCUGCUGCGUGGUGGGGGUUGGAAAGUUUCGGCGGUUGGGGAUGGACUCGCGGCUUAUCAGCUUGUUGGUGGGGUAGUGGCUACCAAGGCUUUGACGGGUAGCCGGCCUGAGAGGGUGACCGGCCACAUUGGGACUGAGAUACGGCCCAGACUCCUACGGGAGGCAGCAGUGGGGAAUAUUGCACAAUGGGCGGAAGCCUGAUGCAGCAACGCCGCGUGCGGGAUGACGGCCUUCGGGUUGUAAACCGCUUUCGCCUGUGACGAAGCGUGAGUGACGGUAAUGGGUAAAGAAGCACCGGCUAACUACGUG
rnacentral:rRNA from 1 species